rnacentral:tmRNA from 1 species
GGGGGCGAUUUGGCUUCGACGGGGAGUUAUGAUGGUAGUCGCAGCGAGUCGAGUUCUCCACAAACUCGUUAAAAAGGUGGAACGCGUUAAUAAACGCCAACGAUAAUUUAGCUUACGCUGCUUAAUUAAAAGCGGCUGUCCUUGGGUAGUAAACCUGUGGCUAUCCAAUAGGGCAUCAAAUUAACAGGUUGCCGCUUAGGUCUUUACCCUAAGGCCAAAGCGAAAGAUUUUAAGGGUGUAGCGAUGGAGAGGCCUGUCUAGCGGCUGUUCUUCAAAGCGAAAAAUAAGUAGCUAGGCUACGCUCGUAGAAGUGGCUAUGGUCGUCUCUUCGGACGUGGGUUCGACACCCACCGCCUCCACCA